GCGUUGUCCGGAAUCACUGGGCGUAAAGGGCGCGUAGGCGGUUUCUCAAGCGUGCGGUGAAAGCUCAGGGCUCAACCCUGAGUCGGCCGUGCGAACUGGGAGACUGGAGCACGGUAGAGGCACAGGGAAUUCCGGGUGUAGCGGUGAAAUGCGUAGAGAUCGGGAGGAACAUCAGUGGCGAAGGCGGCCAUCUGGGACAACACUGACGCUGAAGCACGAAAGCGUGGGGAGCAAACAGG
rnacentral:rRNA from 1 species